rnacentral:tRNA from 1 species
GGGGUUAUAUUUAACUAUAAUAUUUGAAUUGCAAUCAAAAGGUACCUAUCUUAAGGUUAAUCUUU